GACCUGUGAAGAUACUUGGCAACAGGUUGGUUGACAAUUAAAUUCUUCGGGUGGGUCAUUUGCUGGAGGAGAACGCAGCGCAGUAGAGACUCAAAACAGAGAGAGGGGUGGGGAAGCAUCAGGAAUAAGGAAUAAGAAAAGAAAAGAAAAGAAAAGCACACGUUAGACUUGGAGUUCUAUUUCCACAUAACUGCUGCUAUUUCCUCAUAACUGCUGCAGUUCCAAAUUUCAACUGCAUAAUCAAAACUUCUUCGCCAAUCUUCACAAACGAGUUCUUCAUUUUAUUUUUUAUCUUCCUUUUUUUCUGUUCUUUAUAGCUGUUUCGGUUUCUUCUCCUAUUUUGUUCUAACUUAUUGGAGUUGGGGGUCCAGAAUCCCCUUUUUGGCAGAGCAUCAGUUAAGAAUCUUCUCUCUAGAAACUGCUCUAAUUUUUGUUCCAAAUACAAUUCUAGAGACGUGGCAGUGGUUGCAACGGAGGUGAUCUAUUUUGUUUGGUUCAGUUAAUGCUGUAGAUUAUGUGCAGGUAAGACUUUGGUGUUUGAGGUAUACAAGCUAUUAGCUGAAUGAAACACUUUGGCCUUUGGUUUCUUUCACUUUGUGGUUGCUGGAGGAGCCGACUAUUGGUGGAUAUGUUUCUCUUUCAGUCUCCUUGAUGUCGAACUAGACACUUUGUGUGGGACAAAUGAAGAAGGUACCCGGUUUUCCAAUUCUUUUGAUGUGGCAAACGAAAGCACUAUGUAUGGUUAUGUUGAUUUCUCCUGGAAGAUCAGAAGCAGCAUUAAGGAAGAAUAUGAAAAUCGUAGAUCAAUUUGUUUAUAAAUUAAUCAAAGAGAAGAUUGAAACAGUUCAUAAUUCAGAAGAUAAGCUACGAGCUUUGAAGAAAGUAGACAUUGUUUAAAUGCUUUUGGCAUCGGAAGAGACUGAUCCAAAGUACUUGCGAGACAUGGUCCUCAGCCUCAUUGCAUUUGGAAAAGACACAACGGCUAGCACUCUUACAUGGUUUAUUUAUA